rnacentral:rRNA from 1 species
CAUAGCGACUAUCGUGGCAUAUCAAUAAGCGGAGGAAAAGAAACUAACACGGAUUCCCCUAGUAACGGCGAGUGAAGCGGGAAGAGCUCAAAUUUGAAAUCUUAAAGGGUUUCCCUUUACGAAUUGUAGUUUAAAGAAGUGUUUUCUGUUGGAGUUUCGGUAAAAGUUCUUUGGAAUAGGACAUCAUAGAGGGUGAGAAUCCCGUAUUUGAUCGUUACUUUCCAGCUGUGUGAUACACUUUCAAAGAGUCGGAUUGUUUGGGAAUGCAGUCCAAAAUGGGUGGUAAAUUUCAUCUAAAGCUAAAUAUUGGCGAGAGACCGAUAGCGAACAAGUACCGUGAGGGAAAGAUGAAAAGAACUUUGAAAAGAGAGUUAAACAGUACGUGAAAUUGUCAAAAGGGAAGCGUUUGACACCAGUGUUGUUUAGUUGAAAAUCAAUUCAAUAAUUUUUGAUUUUGAGUAGUAUUGACUUCAUCAGCUUGCUGCUUUCUUUUCGGAAAUUAUUGAAUGCACUUUUCAGUUAACAAGUCAACAUCAAUUUCUUUUGUUGUAAAAGGGUAAGAGGAAGGUGGCUUACGCUUCGGCGUAAGUGUUUAUAGCCUUUUACCUCUGCAAUCGGAGAGAUUGAGGACAGCAGCGUAGACUCCUUCGGGGUUAGAUACACUUGUGCUAAGCUAUAGCCUUGUAUAGACAACUUGUUGACUAUGCUCAGUCAUGUAGCUUACUCGCUUGUGCUAUUUUACCUACGCUUAGGAUGUUGAUAGUCACAGCGUGUAC